rnacentral:rRNA from 1 species
UACGUAGGGUCCGAGCGUUUGUCCGGAAUUAUUGGGCGUAAAGAGCUUGUAGGCGGUUUGUCGCGUCUGCUGUGAAAAUCCGGGGCUCAACCCCGGACUUGCAGUGGGUACGGGCAGACUAGAGUGUGGUAGGGGAGACUGGAAUUCCUGGUGUAGCGGUGAAAUGCGCAGAUAUCAGGAAGAACACCCGUGGCGAAGGCGGCUCUCUGGGACGGUACUGACGCUGAGACGCGAAAGCGUGGGGAGCGAACAGG